UACAGAGGUCUCAAGCGUUGUUCGGAUUCAUUGGGCGUAAAGGGCGCGUAGGCGGUCGCGUAAGCGUGUGGUGAAAGCCCGGGGCUCAACCCCGGGUCGGCCAUGCGAACUGCGGGACUGGAGCAGAUCAGAGGCAGGCGGAAUUCCGGGUGUAGCGGUGGAAUGCGUAGAGAUCCGGAAGAACACCGGUGGCGAAGGCGGCCUGCUGGGAUCUUGCUGACGCUGAAGCGCGACAGCGUGGGGAGCAAACAGG
rnacentral:rRNA from 1 species